rnacentral:rRNA from 2 species
GUUGGAAAGUUUUUCGGUGGGGGAUGGGCUCGCGGCCUAUCAGCUUGUUGGUGGGGUAAUGGCCUACCAAGGCGUCGACGGGUAGCCGGCCUGAGAGGGCGACCGGCCACACUGGGACUGAGACACGGCCCAGACUCCUACGGGAGGCAGCAGUGGGGAAUAUUGCACAAUGGGCGAAAGCCUGAUGCAGCGACGCCACGUGAGGGAUGACGGCCUUCGGGUUGUAAACCUCUUUCAGCAGGGAAGAAGCGAAAGUGACGGUACCUGCAGAAGAAGCGCCGGCUAACUACGUGCCAGCAGCCGCGGUAAUACGUAGGGCGCAAGCGUUGUCCGGAAUUAUUGGGCGUAAAGAGCUCGUAGGCGGUCUGUCGCGUCUGGUGUGAAAUCCCAUGGCUCAACUGUGGGCUUGCAUCGGGUACGGGCAGACUAGAGUGCUGUAGGGGAGACUGGAAUUCCUGGUGUAGCGGUGGAAUGCGCAGAUAUCAGGAGGAACACCGAUGGCGAAGGCAGGUCUCUGGG